rnacentral:misc_RNA from 1 species
UCGAAACCCAUUGAAACCAUUCAGUUUAGAUUCGAUUGACACCUUCUCAUCGAACCGCAAAGAUAGCGGUUGGAUUCUUGUUUCCAUUAAAGCUCUGUUUUCCUCCUCCAAUCCCGCUGCUUCUCUUCGACACCCAGAAAUUGCCCGUAUUACCUGGCGAGAUAACUGGGUACUAAGACGGCGAUGGUUGUCAAGAGAAGAAGUGAUAUUAAAU